rnacentral:tRNA from 1 species
GGUUCGGCAGCUUAGUUGGUAAAGCGCUCGUCUAGCAUACAAGAGUCCUGGGUUCAAAUCCCAGCCGAGCAC